rnacentral:lncRNA from 1 species
UUUCCCUCUCCUCCCGCUCUCCCUCCUUCCUCCCUUUCCUCCCUUCUUUUCCUUCCUCUUCUUUCCCUGUGUCUUUCUUUUUUCUUUGCUUCUCCCUUCCUUUUCUCUCCUUGUGUCUUUCUCGCUCUUGUUUUUCCUUUCUCUCCCUUGUGUACUGAGAAAGUGACAGUCCUUGGCUGUGGGUGGGCAGGAGUGACCCGCCCCGGAGAGCGGGGUCACCCUGGGUGACUCCUGGGUGCAGCUGUGAGCCCUGCCUGAGGCUUUUCCUGACCUCUGGGGAGGGCAGCUCAGCCUGGGGCUGGAGGUUGGGGCCAGCUCUGGAGGCUGGAGUGGCUGCUGGGCGGCGGGACAGGCGCCUCAGAAGUCACUGAGGCAUGGCCUCAGUGAGGCCGAGCUGGACGGGGCCCUGGUGCUGGUUUUCAGUGCCUCAGCGAGGCCGGGACCAGAGCUGCUAUUUCCAGAUGAGGCUGGCUCGCAUCUGCUCUGGCCGGGGCUCCAGGUCUGAGCCCUGGAACACGGCGUUCCCUUUCCAAGUCUGCAAAGCCUGUCUUAGGGGAGAGAAAAAGUUUCCUUCCACGCGGGUGGGGACGGCUAACCAUGUCCAGACACUGAGACGGUGCUCUGUGUGCUCAGCCCUCAGCCUGCACUGGCUUGGUGGCUUGGUGACCCGCCAGCAGGGUGGUACUGUCUGUGGGCUCUGCUCAAGCUCCUCUCAGAGCCAGGAGGAUGCCCGCCUGCUUGGGCUUGGCACCCAGCAUGUGCUUGGCAAAUGGCUUCUGGGAUGGAUGGAUGGAUGGAUGGGUGAAUGGAUAACGGAUGGAUGGAUAAUGGAUGGAUGGAUAAUGGAUAGAUGGAUGGAUGAUGGAUGGAUGGAUGGAUGAUGGAUGGAUGGAUAAUGAAUGGGUGGGUGGAUGGAUGGAUGUGCUCGAUCGGCAAAUGCUUCUGGAAUGGAUGGAUAAUUGGAUGGGUAAUGGGUGGGUGGAUGGAUAAUGGAUAGAUGGAUGGAUAAUGGAUGGAUGGAUGGAUAAUGGAUGGAUGGAUGGAUAAUGGAUAGAUGGAUGGAUAAUGUAUAGAUGGAUGGAUAAUGGAUGGAUGGAUAAUGAACAGAUGAUGGAUAAUGGAUGGAUGGAUAAUAGAUGGAUGGAUAGAUAAUGAACAGAUGAUGGAUAAUGGAUGGAUGGAUGGAUAAUGGAUGGAUGGAUAAUGAACAGAUGAUGGAUAAUGGAUGGAUGGAUGGAUAAUGGAUGGAUGGAUAAUGAACAGAUGAUGGAUAAUGGAUGGAUGGAUGGAUAAUGG